GUUGUCUACAGUUUGGACAGUUUUGUGACCAAUGAGCGCGUCCCAUUGUCUACAGUUGGGCCUGGCAACCGCGGCAGAAUCCGCUCGGCCAAUCAGAAAAUUCGAAGUAGGUGGGAUUGACACGGCGCUUAAAACUGUAGACUGCGGAUCAGCGGACAUUACAAGCGAGACGAACAUCGACAAACUUUAUAGCUAUUUGACAUCUGUCAAACUUUUUUUUGGCUAUCGGAACAUUUUACCCGUCUAUAAAAACCAACAGUCAAUUGAAGUCGUUGUGUCCCAGCUUCGCCAACAGUGGAUUUUAGCAGGGGAGUCUGCCUUUAACAUGCUAACAACUUCAAGACGCCACCGAAAACGUAAGCUAAAAGGUAAUAUUUCAUUCAAUUGCUUCGAUAUCCUUUCUGCGGAUGUUAUUUUUCACCAAGUACAAGUAUUAGGGUAAUAAUGUGUACAUUGGCUGUCUAUACAAAUGACGGCAAGCGCCGUAGACUGUAAUGUUGCUGUUAGCUCACUUUGCUAGUUUCAGAUGACAUUGAACUGAAGGCUACGGGAAACGCUAUAAUUGUUGUUAUUGUUGUCGUGUCAAAAGGGAUUUUGAGAUAUAACUACGGUUUACUUUAUUGACUACUGUUGUUUAAAAGUAUGCCGGUAUUGGUCGUUUGCUUAUUUGUGCCUCGGUGUUAAAGGCAGCUACUUGACUUGGGUUGAAAACAGUGCGGCCAUAGGUAAACAAACAGCUGCUUGCUUGAGCUACAUUGUAUUUUGUAUUAAGACGUACGGACAUGAAAGCUUACAUUGACGCAAUUAUGAGUGCUUUCGUACUGUUUGGUUGUAUUACACUGUCAUACAAGUGUAAUAUCUGGCGCAGUUGCCACUUCAAUGACUUGCAACGUGUUGCUUUGGUGCUACAACAUUGUAUCUUUCAUGAAGGCGCACCAUCAAAGCUUAUGAAUAGGAGAGAUUUGGUACGGUUUGGCUGUAUGACUUUGUUAUAAUGAACUAUUAGGCAUAUCAUUGUAAUGCCUGGAGCAGUUGCUACUUCAAUGACUUUAUAUAUAGGACUCCCACAUGCCAUGAGAGUCUGCACAAGUGUACAGUACAGGACCAGAGUCUAGUUAUUACAUUUUCCCAACAAUUGAAGCUACAGUAGCCUACUGAAUGUAUAACUGUAGUAUACAAUCUGUGUCGUCCCCCCCUCCUCAAUAACUAAGAGAAGUGGUAAUAGGCCUACUACUGUGUGUGUGUGUGUGUGUGUGUGUGUGUGUGUGUGUGUGUGUGUGUGUGUGUGUGUGUGUGUGUGUGUGUGUUUACAGAAGAGAAUAUAUCCUCUGAUGCCCACGCUGUCCAUCCUGGACACCAGCACCCCCACAGCAGGUUGAGACUCAGACACAGCUUACAAAGAAGCUAUGAAGAAAUGCCAGCUGAUUGCACCUACGCUGACCAAGGCACAAGUACUGGGGUGAGAUGAGAGAUGUGGCACCCUGAGAAGAGGAAGACCAUCAACGAGUGGCCGACUGAGAAGAGGAAGACCAUCAACGAGUGGCCGAAGGAGCAGUUUGUCAAGUAUGCGCACCACUUCACCCCGUACCGUGCUACCUGCAGAUGAAUGUGGACAGAGCCAUCUAUGAACAGACAGGGGAGGUUCAAGUCACUCACCUACCUAGAGAUGUGGCAGUGGUACAGACCCCAGCUGGGAAGAAGACGCUCUGUCCACCUAUGAAACACAAGGGAGACAGUUACUGGAGGCAGUUGGCAGUGGGUUAAGAGACGCCAUCUUGUUUGACGCAUGGUACAAUUCCUGGGAGGCUGAGGACUCUGAGCUGCUCAAGCAAGACAUCAAGAGGAGGAUGAGAAGAGGGGCCUCUUUCUGAUGCUGCAGCCCUUCACAGACAUGUACAGGAGGAAGAGAUGGAGGAGGGUCUUGAAGAACGAUACGAUGUGGUUCCAACCUCCCGAGAUGCCUGAUGUGGUGGAUGGCAGCACGGUGCCCGUGAUAGACAACUCUUCUAGUACUUCAUGCUGACGGUGGUCCUGGCCUGCGACGCCUGCCGGAAAGCCGCCAAGGGGCCGGGAGACCACACCAUCAGCCGCUACCUGUCGUGGGAGGGCAAGAUCCUCAACCAGCUGACCCCAGCUCGCAGAGCAGUCUUUCCUGCAGUGGUGACUCUACGGUGUGGAGUAGACAAGUCCAUCAUCCAUCUCAUGAGGGACCACACA